AGUGAACGCUGGCGGUAGGCCUAACACAUGCAAGUCGAACGGCAGCACAGUAAGAGCUUGCUCUUACGGGUGGCGAGUGGAGGACGGGUGAGGAAUACAUCGGAAUCUACUUUUUCGUGGGGGAUAACGUAGGGAAACUUACGCUAAUACCGCAUACGACCUACGGGUGAAAGCAGGGGAUCUUCGGACCUUGCGCGAUUGAAUGAGCCGAUGUCGGAUUAGCUAGUUGGCGGGGUAAAGGCCCACCAAGGCGACGAUCCGUAGCUGGUCUGAGAGGAUGAUCAGCCGCACUGGAACGGAGACACGGUCCAGACUCCUACGGGAGGCAGCAGUGGGGAAUAUUGGACAAUGGGCGCAAGCCUGAUCCAGCCAUACCGCGUGGGUGAAGAAGGCCUUCGGGUUGUAAAGCCCUUUUGUUGGGAAAGAAAAGCAGCAGGUUAAUACCCCGCUGUUCUGACGGUACCCAAAGAAUAAGCACCGGCUAACUUCGUG
rnacentral:rRNA from 1 species